rnacentral:misc_RNA from 1 species
AACGCACAUUGCGCCCGCCAGUAUUCUGGCGGGCAUGCCUGUUCGAGCGUCAUUUCAACCCUCAGGCCCCCAGUGCCUGGCGUUGGAGAUCGGCCGUACGGCGCGCAGCCCCCCCCGGGGGUUUGCGCGGCGGGCCGGCUCCGAAAUCUAGUGGCGGUCUCGCUGUAGUCCUCCUCUGCGUAGUAGCACAACCUCGCAGUUGGAACGCGGCGGUGGCCAUGCCGUUAAACACCCCACUUCUGAAAGUUGACCUCGGAUCAGGUAGGAAUACCCGCUGAACUUAA